AGAGUUUGAUCAUGGCUCAGGGUAAACGCUGGCGGCGUGCCUAAAACAUGCAAGUCGAACGCAGCCUCGCGGUUCGCCGCGGGGGUGAGUGGCAGACAGCUGAGUAACACGUGGGUGACCUACCUGCCUGUGGGGAAUAACUGCCCGAAAGGGUGGCUAAGACCGCAUGCGCUCCCCGGGUCGACCGGGGAGGAAAGUCGCGCGGCGCAAGUUGCGCAACGCAGGCAGAGGGGCCCGCGGCCGAUUAGCUCGUUGGUGGGGUAACGGCCUACCAAGGCGACGAUCGGUACCUGAUCUGAGAGGAUGAUCAGGCAGACUGGGACUGAGACACGGCCCAGACUCCUACGGGAGGCAGCAGUUAGGAAUUUUGGGCAAUGGGCGCAAGCCUGACCCAGCAACGCCGCGUGGGUGAUGACGGCCUUCGGGUUGUAAAGCCCUUUUCUCGGGGAAGAUGAUGACGGUACCCGAGGAAGAAGCCCCGGCUAACUACGUGCCAGCAGCCGCGGUAAUACGUAGGGGGCGAGCGUUGCCCGGAUUUAUUGGGCGUAAAGGGCGCGUAGGCGGCCAUGUGCGUCACGGGUGAAAUCUCCCGGCUCAACUGGGAGGGGUCCUGUGAUACGGCGUGGCUCGAGCGAGGUAGGGGGUCGUGGAAUUCCCGGUGUAGUGGUGGAAUGCGUAGAGAUCGGGAGGAACACCCGUGGCGAAGGCGGCGACCUGGACCUCGGCUGACGCUAAGGCGCGAAAGCGUGGGGAGCGAUCCGGAUUAGAUACCCCAGUAGUCC
rnacentral:rRNA from 1 species